CCCGCCGGUGCCUCGGCCUAGGGGAAGAAAAAGUAUAAAAGUGCCUUGAGUACCAAAAGAUGACUUGGGAUCAAUCUGACUAACUGCAAGUACAAAUCUGGUGGAAAAUCAUCUUCUGCUGUUUCUUGAAUGGAGAAGCCAAAAGAGUUGGUGCAGAUGAUUCCUAAAGGAGUAGUAAAUUUACAUUUGCCUUCAGAAAAUGAGCUACUUUCCUGAAAUGAGUGAGAUCUAGAGGAAAGACUUGCUGGAUAGGAACAUGAGCAGGAUGGUAAAGCUCUUCCCAAAAGAAUUCAACUUCUUUCCCAGACCUGGUGUCUUCCUGCAGAGCCAGUAGCAGAUGAAAGAAACUUAAGACUUAUGUCUGUAAACUGGACUGACUGUCAGGGGAGAAGCAUCUUCAUCACCAGAUCUGUGAAGGACAAAAAAACGGAACAGGAUAUGAUCUGCCAGCUCAACACCUCAAGGGGAUCUCCAGGAUUGGACCCCCAUGGUUUUCUCCAGGAUAAAUCUUCUGGAAAGAAGAAAAGGGAAGAAAAUGAAACCAAAAUCAAAGCUAAGUCAAAUGUGGAUGUGGUCCCAUCUGGGUCCUUCACAAACAAAGCUCUCCUUAAAUGAGCUGGCUGCACGGGCACCUCGCUGGGGACGCCCCGGACGCCAAGGUCCCUCCAGGGAGCACAGUCAGGGGAAGGGGCUGCCCCGGGCUCCCCCCAAGGCUCCUGGGGGCGAGGGAAAGGGUUGAUCGACCUAGAUCCUGCAGAGGAGAAGGCCGGGUGCCCAGCACCUCGCCGGGGCUGUGGUAUCCUCCUGGAGGCAGCCAGAGGUCUCCCCUUAGGAUAAGGGGGCAUCUUCAGUUUUGGCUCAUUUUUAAUAAUCCGGAUAAUUAACGUAGAACAAAUCGGAUCCCUUCACUGCAGGGAACACGAUCCCUUUGUCAGCCCAGGAGAGAAAAGAGCAGAUUGGGUUAUCAGGGGCCACCGGCAGGUAACAGCGGGCUGCAGCCGGGUGCGGGGGCUGCGGGGCGUCCACCCCGCCAGGGCCGGGGCCUUCCACACAGGGAAGGACAAGUCCUCCCUUUCCCCAGUCAGCUACAAACGAAUAAUGCCGAAAUGUUAGAGAAAGGGGCAGAGGGUAAGGCUCCUCUGCCGUUCGGGUGACAGUCAGUGUAAUUUAGGCACCUCAGAAAGCAAGCAAAAAAGUGAGACAGGGUUCUUAACUGAUGUUAUACUUAUUUCUCUGCUUUGCAGUGUCAUCUCGGUACUUGGUUUUUUUGCUUUUUGGUUUUUGUUUUUUUUCGUUUUGGCAUACAUUACUAAAGAAAGGAGGGAACAAGCAGAAAGAAACCUUGCCUGACCACUGCAUUAACUGUGAUAAAGAAAGUCCCUGUUUAUUUGUGCACUUCUUACUUUCCUGCUGCACUUCAGUAACUUGCUCUCCCCACGAUGCCUCCAAAGGCACACCCCUGUCUCUGCGCGCACAUGCUUGUUUCAAGCCUCUGCCCCUCCACGCUGCCAUCAUAGCAUCUUUCUGUACCCGCCUUUAUACUUACACGUGUGGGAUGAUGUCGUUUUAUUCAUAAUGAUUAUAAUAAUGCCUAUAACAUAAUAUAUAUCAAUGUAAUUGUUACUGUAUUCAUAUCAGUAAUUAAUGCUAAUGUUUUUGAUACAUUUAUUAAUACAAUAUAUUAAUGAAUGCACUUCAGUUACACAGAGUUCUCAGGGAAGCUUUCAAAGGGAUGUCUUGUUUUUAUUAUGUUUCGCAGGUCUUAAUUAUUAUGUCUCCUUGGGCCAAAGAGAAGUAAGUGGUGGGUCGGAGCCAACUGGGGCUCGCAGAGUUUAAAGUCAGAGCACAGUGGAGCCCAGCAAUAGGGCACCUCACAGUAAAAAAGCAAUAGGAUGAGAGGCAAUGGGCACAAGCUGAAACACAGGACGUUCUGUGUGAAUAUAAGGAAAAACUUUUUAUAGUGACAGUGGCAGUGGCAGGGACCCUCUCCCAGUAGCUGCAGUAACAUCUGGAGCCCCAGUACUGGAGACUCCUGCACCUGCACCCACACUCCCUGCUGCUGCGAUCUAUUAAUAACGAAUGUCUCCAACACAUCUGCCAGGGGAACCACUCUCUUCCCCAGGCCAAGGGCAAGGGGAAGUUAAAUAAAAAUUGUUUUUCAGCCCAUACAUCCUAAGGGCUUGGAAAUUUUCUGAUCGCAGAAAGAAGGGGACAACCACAAGUAAACACAUACAUGUCUGUUCCCUAAGGAUAUACAGAGCACACGGCUCUGUGCCGGUUGAUGCUUGGAUGUGGUUGUGGCAGGUUUUGCACCAAUGAAUGCCUCCACUCUGGCCAGGCAAUGUUGAGCUGACCCCUCUGCCUGUAUAUAACUCCCUGCUUUUGGCAUCAUUGAUCCAGGCUCGGGAAGGUAGCAUAAACCUGAAUGAAUUGCUUGUCUGUUUUUCAGAUAUACACGGAUCUCUCCCUGCGGUAGAGGUAAAAAACAUGCAAGAUUCUUUCGGAAAGGCAAUGUCCCAGAUUUCCGCUGAUUGCAAAACGCUGCAGCCUACAUUGUGUAGUCAGAAGUGCUGCAGCCUGGAUAGCCUCUGUGGCUUGCCCACCACUUGACUGCCCCAAGGAGAUGCACCUGUACACUUCCUCAGUAUUUUACCUGCUAUGAAGACCAUGAAUGGCAGGAGGCUGGUCCACGGCAGUGCUGUAGUUUCCACUGCAAUGAAAAAUGAGUGCAGAGCCUGGGGGCCUCGGUCAUCCUUCUGGCUGGUCGCCAACCACCUGGGUUGGCAGCUCCACGCUCUGCCCGGAGCUGGAACAGCAAACACUCUUCUUGCCAUGAUUUAUGAUCCAUCCUACUGAGCUCAGUGAGGCUUUCCUGGGAGCAGGCAUGAAUCACACUAGGAGUGUGUGCUAGGCCUGGCCCUCGGUGAAUAUUGCUCUAUCAGUAGCCUGUGUUCCCAAGAUAGAGCAGUUCACUGAGGCAGAGCUCAGUCCAAAAGACAAAGGUCUUGUGUUUGGAUUUCUGCCCUAGGGAGAAAUCUCUGAAUUACCAGAGAGCCAGAAGACAAAACAAUAACCAUCGAGCGCGUAUGGAGAGCACAGCAGCAGGAGGGCAACGCUCACCCUUGGUCUACAUGAGAGAGCUGCUGUGUGACCCUGGUGAGACACCUCACUGGAAACUGUUGAAUGAGUCAAGUUGCCUCCAGCAGCUGAAGGGCCAGAGCUCUAGGUUCACUGCGGGGCUGCAACAGGCUGUGGGAACGAACCACCGCAGCCACCACUGCCCUGCUGGGCCCCAGAAACCUGUGAAACUGCUGUAGCAGCUGCUGGCAGCAGUCUGUCCAUGCUCCUCGCUGCAGAAAGCAAACCAAAAAGGAAGAGGUGACUGAAGUCAUUGCCUACUGCAGCGUGCCUCAACCCAUAGAGCAGGUAGCCCUGGCAGCUCUGCGGAGCUGUGCUGGAAACAGAGGCACCAUCCUGCUUGGAGCUACACCCAGCCUGGAAAGUGGAGGCAGGAACAGCUUCAAAAAUUGCAGCGAGGUUUGCCAGAGCUCUGCUGUCAGAGCCCUGCUGCUGCCUUAGCAUGCACACAAGCCUUUGGGGCAAACUCGCCUCUACGCUUGUGACCCAUCAGCUGCCCCAGGGAUCAUGGAAGGGGACACCCCGUCUGGGACUGUUCUUGGCAGGGUGCUCUGGUUCCACCACCACACUGCCUGGAGCCGGGAUACCCCAUCAGCUGCAUGCCUGGUGCAGGGAGAGCAGCUCCUGCCCUCGGCUGCAUACCGCUAUGUCGGCCUCCCUCUCCCUCUUCCCGUUUACCCCAUCAGAGGGAUGAGAAUCUAUCCCUCACACGCUUAUUUAGGGGAAGAGGCCUCAAAAUCUUCCAGAUGCCACCAAAAAUGUGGCUCCCCCCCCCCCCAGUCCCUCCAUACAGGAAGAAGUAAUCAAGGUAGGCCCCUUCCCAGUCUUCCCUCCAGACCCAAAGUCAGCUUCAGAUAAGACCACACCAGCAACCCUGCUCCGUGCAAGCAGAGGGGAAACGCAUCAGGAUCCUGAAGGCUCCCCAAGGAGAAUUAAACUACAGAGGAAGGACUUAAAACUAUGCACAGACCAACUCCCCUCUCUCCCACCACGGCUGAAGUGAAUUGCUUCAGCUGAGCAGGCACUCGAGGAAAAACGAACGGCUUCCCGGGAAGAGGCCCAGCAUGCACGCAGCGGCCCACGGCGCGUGCAGCGAUGUGCGCACGCUGCAGGGCUCGGCGCCGAGCAGCGAGAACGGAAAGGGACGGACGGGAUGCACGGCUGUAUACACAGUGCAUGUAUACAAAAGCAUAGGAGCGGGCGUGGAGCGGCUGUGCGGAGAUGCACAUUUAGACAUAUUUAAAGAGAGUGUUUGAAGAGCUAGA